rnacentral:rRNA from 1 species
AUUGAACGCUGGCGGCAUGCCUUACACAUGCAAGUCGAACGGCAGCGGGGGAGAAGCUUGCUUUUCCUGCCGGCGAGUGGCGAACGGGUGAGUAAUACAUCGGAACGUGCCCUGUAGUGGGGGAUAACUAGUCGAAAGAUUAGCUAAUACCGCAUACGACCUGAGGGUGAAAGCGGGGGACCGCCAGGCCCCAUGCUAUAGGAGCGGCCGAUGUCUGAUUAGCUAGUUGGUGGGGUAAAGGCCUACCAAGGCGACGAUGAGUAGCUGGUCUGAGAGGACGAUCAGCCACACUGGGACUGAGACACGGCCCAGACUCCUACGGGAGGCAGCAGUGGGGAAUUUUGGACAAUGGGCGAAAGCCUGAUCCAGCAAUGCCGCGUGUGUGAAGAAGGCCUUCGGGUUGUAAAGCACUUUUGUCCGGAAAGAAAUGGCUCUGGUUAAUACCUGGGGUCGAUGACGGUACCGGAAGAAUAAGGACCGGCUAACUACGUGCCAGCCGCCGCGGUAA